GACGAACGCUGGCGGCGUGCCUAAUACAUGCAAGUAGAACGCUGAAGGAGGAGCUUGCUUCUCUGGAUGAGUUGCGAACGGGUGAGUAACGCGUAGGUAACCUGCCUGGUAGCGGGGGAUAACUAUUGGAAACGAUAGCUAAUACCGCAUAAGAGUAGAUGUUGCAUGACAUUUGCUUAAAAGGUGCAAUUGCAUCACUACCAGAUGGACCUGCGUUGUAUUAGCUAGUUGGUGGGGUAACGGCUUACCAAGGCGACGAUACAUAGCCGACCUGAGAGGGUGAUCGGCCACACUGGGACUGAGACACGGCCCAGACUCCUACGGGAGGCAGCAGUAGGGAAUCUUCGGCAAUGGACGGAAGUCUGACCGAGCAACGCCGCGUGAGUGAAGAAGGUUGUCGGAUCGGAAAGCUCGGUUGUAAGAGAAGAACGAGUGUGAGAGUGGAAAGUUCACACUGUGACGGUAUCUGACCAGAAAGGGACGGCUAACUACGUG
rnacentral:rRNA from 1 species